CAGGUAGGACUACCCGCUGAACUUAAGCAUAUCAUAAUCGGGAAGGAA
rnacentral:rRNA from 1 species